GAGAGAGAAAGAAAUACAGAUGAAAGAAGGAAAUAGAAGAUGAUUCAAUUUACACGGAUAAGAUUUUUUUCGUAACCAAUAAGUGAUCGAAAACGUCGCUUUAAAACGCAGGAGGUAUCAUCCCGUACGUAAACCUCGGCAAAGCAGCAAGCAAAGUUUGCAAGGUUGAGGCACACCAAAACCAGAAAAACCGGCCCCUCCCUUUCUCUCCUUUCUCUCGUUCUCUCCUCCAACAUCUCAGAGUUGACUUCGAGGAGUCGCAGCAAAUAUCCAGCAUUCGCAUAGCUAUUGGUUACCAUGGUAACAGCGCCACUGCAGCCGCCGUUGUUGCCGCGUACUACGGCGCAUGCUUAAACAAAACAAACUCGGUGGAGGGGGUAACUGAGUCACGAUUUCAUUCGAUUUCAUCCGAAAUCGUCCGAGGAGCCUUACGUACGUAGUGCGUGCCCCCAUGGGUUUGACCGUUAAAAGGUUAAAAAGAGAAAAAGAUAAAAGAGAGAGAGAGAAGACUAACACAAUAAGAGAAGAGUAGAAUAAUGAAAAAGAGAGAGAGAGAAGAAGAACCAGAGAAAUUGGUUAAGUAUAUUAUACGCGUGCGCAUUGGAAAAGGAUAGAGAGAAAGAGAUCGUGGGACGUCAUUGGUAGUAGUGACGCGUUCCGUAAGGGGGAGAUGGUAUAGUCGCGUCAUAAAAGUGGGGGGACGGAAUCUCCCCUUGCAAGCAGAAGCAACGAACAGUUUCUCGGCUCCCGACACGGGUACCCUGCAGUCGACGAGUUAGUUCUCUAGAGUAAAAGAGGGAGAGAAAGUCUAGUAGUAGUAUAUACGAGAGAGAGAGAGAGAGAAAGAGAGGGGGAGAAAAAAAAAGAAAGAAAGAGACGACUCUACCAGACGAGUCGGAGAAGAAACGAAAGAGAGAGAGAGAGA